rnacentral:lncRNA from 1 species
UUUCGUGAUAAACUUAGAGAUGUCAUUCACAGAAGUGUGCAAAAGACGCAAAGGACUGGUGCUGACAAUGCUUGGUAGGCACGACCCUGGGGGGCAGCUGUGCUGGACGAGCUGGCUGUGCCACCAGGAGUGGACAGGGCCUCGGGGACUCCGCUCCAGGCCCGGACAUGCCUCACCACUCUUCGACAAGUUUGUGAGCAUCUCCCUCCCUGCUUGAAUCCAUCUCUGCUGGAGAUAUGGAGAGUGGUUCCUUUGUCCUGCUCUGAGCCCUGACUGAUACCGCAGCUGCCUGGAGGCCCGAAGCUUCUGUACCGUCUCCCGCCACCUGCCCGGCUCCCCCAAGCCGAGAGGGGGUGAAUCUCCACAAUUCUGGCAUUCCUGCACACCUUCCAGCACAGGACACUGUGAGGACGUUUGCGUAAGAGACAGCCUUGCAAGCUGGAGACAGUGUCUCCCUAAACCCAGAGACCCCUGGCGAUAUUUCUGGAGAGCGAAGGCCUCCCCACUCCUCCCCCGGAGAAGACUGACUUAUCUUCCAGGGUGAAAAGAUACUAUCUUCCUCGCAGACCAAGGCUGGGCAGGAGUGCCACAGCUCCCUCACGUGAUCGAGGGGUUCCUAAACUCUGGCUCCUCGACUGCGACACAGACCUGCUCCGUUUGGCCCCCGUGGGACACAGGGCGCAAGGAGGACCAAUGGGAGCAUUUUGUGCUGUCCUCCGAGAAGCACACACCAGGAGGAGAUCCAAGCACAGGGAAAGGCCGGCUGGAGACAGAGGGGAGGCGAGGUGGGGCGUGUCAGUGGUGACACGAGUGUGGCCUUGCUCCAGCUGGGAGGCCCUCUUGGGUCUAGUAAGGUUCAGAAGGCUGUCGGGGUGUCCUCAAGUCAAAGCUGGCCGUCAGAUGGUUCCUGGGCACCCCAGGGACCCUUCCCCAGGCGCUGCAGUGGGAACACAGGUGGAGACGGGGUGGCGCCAACAUUUCUUAGCUGGCAUUGUUCUAUAAAGUCCCCCAUCCUUUUUAGUAUCUCUGUGGACUCACAGAUACUUUUCAUUCAGUGUCCAUCAGGAGUUGUGAAGGAGAUUUGGGGGCUCUGGGCCGGGCACCCACAGUCAGGGGGUGGGAGGGCUGGGCAAUCACAGAGAAGAUUAUUGUAGCCGAGAUUUCCCCAGAAUAUUUUAAAGACAUGAAUCCUGAGAAAGGGAGAUCGGCAAAUAAAUAAAUAAAUAAAUAAACA